UGGCCUUGACAUAGACAGAAUUUAGUAGAGAUAUAAAAGUGCUGGUUUACCAGAGCUGUUAUACAGGUGCUGCACGGCUGUCGUCAGCUCGUGUCGUGAGAUGUUGGGUUAAGUCCCGCAACGAGCGCAACCCACGUGAUUAGUUGCUAACAGUUCGGCUGAGAACUCUAAUCAGACUGCCUGGGUAACCAGGAGGAAGGUGUGGACGACGUCAAGUCAUCAUGGCCCUUACGGCCAGGGCUACACACGUGCUACAAUGGGCUAUACAGAGAGCAGCGAUACCGCGAGGUGGAGCAAAUCUUUAAAAUAUCUCCCAGUUCGGAUAGCACUCUGCAACUCGAGUGCUUGAAGUUGGAAUCGCUAGUAAUCGUGGAUCAGCAAUGCCACGGUGAAUACGUUCCCGGGUCU
rnacentral:rRNA from 1 species